UGGGCUGGGGCUCAGUGGUAGAGCACUUGCCUAGCACACAUGGGCACUGGGUUCGAUCCUCAGCACCACAA
rnacentral:tRNA from 1 species